rnacentral:rRNA from 1 species
AAUGAACGCUGGCGGCAUGCCUUACACAUGCAAGUCGAACGGCAGCAUGACCUAGCUUGCUAGGUUGAUGGCGAGUGGCGAACGGGUGAGUAAUGCAUCGGAACGUGCCUUUUAGUGGGGGAUAACGUAGCGAAAGUUACGCUAAUACCGCAUAUUCUCUGAGGGGGAAAGCAGGGGACCUUCGGGCCUUGCGCUAGAAGAGCGGCCGAUGUCGGAUUAGCUAGUUGGUGAGGUAAAGGCUCACCAAGGCAACGAUCCGUAGCGGGUCUGAGAGGAUGAUCCGCCACACUGGGACUGAGACACGGCCCAGACUCCUACGGGAGGCAGCAGUGGGGAAUUUUGGACAAUGGGCGCAAGCCUGAUCCAGCCAUGCCGCGUGAGUGAAGAAGGCCUUCGGGUUGUAAAGCUCUUUCGGCUGGGAAGAAAUCGCACCCUCUAAUACAGGGUGUGGAUGACGGUACCAGCAUAAGAAGCACCGGCUAACUACGUG